GAUGAACGCUGGCGGCGUGCCUAAUACAUGCAAGUCGAGCGAACAGACGAGGAGCUUGCUCCUCUGACGUUAGCGGCGGACGGGUGAGUAACUCGUGGAUAACCUACCUAUAAGACUGGGAUAACUUCGGGAAACCGGAGCUAAUACCGGAUAAUAUAUUGAACCGCAUGGUUCAAUAGUGAAAGACGGUUUUGCUGUCACUUAUAGAUGGAUCCGCGCCGCAUUAGCUAGUUGGUAAGGUAACGGCUUACCAAGGCAACGAUGCGUAGCCGACCUGAGAGGGUGAUCGGCCACACUGGAACUGAGACACGGUCCAGACUCCUACGGGAGGCAGCAGUAGGGAAUCUUCCGCAAUGGGCGAAAGCCUGACGGAGCAACGCCGCGUGAGUGAUGAAGGUCUUCGGAUCGUAAAACUCUGUUAUUAGGGAAGAACAAAUGUGUAAGUAACUAUGCACGUCUUGGCGGUACCUAAUCAGAAAGCCACGGCUAACUACGUG
rnacentral:rRNA from 1 species